AUGGUGCUGCCGCGGAUGGUGAGCACGCACACGUUGCCAUUUCACAGGAAGACACCACGAUAUUCCAGACCUCGGGUCAUUUCAGACCCCAAGUUUCCGUCAUUUUUGUUGUUGUUGACAACAGAUAGAUUCUUAGAAGAAGAAAAAAUGAAAAUAGAAACGUGUCAACUAAGUCAUUCAGAGAGAACAGCGUGAACAAAAGAGCACGUUUCAGUUAUCAGUCAUUAGAACAGAUACAUGAGUGCAUCAUUUGUAUCAUUUAUAAAGAGCUACCUUUACAGUGGACUAACAAACAAGUUCUACGGUCACCACAACCAUACCGUCUAUAAGAGCACAUGACGGGACACACUGUGGCUAUUGUGUGCGGGUGUGUCUCUGGGGCAAUAAUCAAAAAAUGUUUGAGAUAAGGGCCAGAAAGACAUGCUGUUGGAGAGGACAAGAGGAAGACGAAGGAGGGACACGCAGCAUGGUCGGGGUGUGAUCAUGGAAGGGAUCGCCUUCCAUGGGAGCAGACGGAGGCAGCAAGGGAGAAACAAUGACGACACAGGGGUUCGCGACCACAAAGGAAGCAUGAGAGGCAGGCCCAAAAACAUUUGGGGGGGGUGCACACGGGGUGGUUGGCGGAGCCAGGUUUCAGACCAGAGCCAACUCCCCGCACUCGCUUUAAGGAGUGUGUGACCGUUCAGGCACCAUGUUAUGCGGUGAUACGCACUGUCUCCACAGUGCGUAUUCACAGCCCGGUGAGCUCGGUGCCAGCUCCUCGCACUUGCCGUGCGAAAGUGAGAGUGAGCCUCCAGCGACGGUCUGCGGUCCAGAGCCUCCAGCGACGGUCUGCGGUCCGGAGCAUCCAGCGACGGUCGGCGGUUCCCAAUCAGAGGCAGCUGUCUAUCGUUUUCUCUGAUUGGGGAUCAUACUUAGGCAGUCUUUUGUCCACCUUUAGUUUGUGGGAUCUUGUUGUGUGUAGUUGCUUUCUGCACUGCAUGCAGCUUUACGGUCUUUUUUGUAUUCUGUUGUUUUUUCGGUGUCA